rnacentral:rRNA from 1 species
AGAGUUUGAUCCUGGCUCAGGAUGAACGCUAGCGACAGGCUUAACACAUGCAAGUCGAGGGGCAGCACGGUGUAGCAAUACACUGGUGGCGACCGGCGCACGGGUGAGUAACACGUGUGCAACCAACCCCGUACCGGGAGAUAACCCGCGGAAACGUGGACUAACAUCCCAUGAGACUCUAGAGCCGCAUGGCUCUAGAUUUAAAAUUCCGGUGGUACGGGACGGGCACGCGCGACAUUAGGUAGUUGGCGGGGUAACGGCCCACCAAGCCGACGAUGUCUAGGGGUUCUGAGAGGAAGGUCCCCCACACUGGAACUGAGACACGGUCCAGACUCCUACGGGAGGCAGCAGUGAGGAAUAUUGGUCAAUGGGCGAGAGCCUGAACCAGCCAAGUCGCGUGAGGGAAGAAUGGUCUAUGGCCUGUAAACCUCUUUUGUCAGGGAAGAAUAAGGAUGACGAGUCAUUCGAUGCCAGUACUUGACGAAUAAGCAUCGGCUAACUCCGUGCCAGCAGCCGCGGUAAUACGGGGGAUGCGAGCGUUAUCCGGAUUUAUUGGGUUUAAAGGGCGCGUAGGCGGGACGUCAAGUCAGCGGUAAAAGACUGCAGCUAAACUGUAGCACGCCGUUGAAACUGGCGCCCUGGAGACGAGACGAGGGAGGCGGAACAAGUGAAGUAGCGGUGAAAUGCAUAGAUAUCACUUGGAACCCCGAUAGCGAAGGCAGCUUCCCAGGCUCGUUCUGACGCUGAUGCGCGAGAGCGUGGGUAGCGAACAGGAUUAGAUACCCUGGUAGUCCACGCCGUAAACGAUGCUCACUGGAUCUUGGCGAUACACUGCCAGGGUUCAAGCGAAAGUAUUAAGUGAGCCACCUGGGGAGUACGUCGGCAACGAUGAAACUCAAAGGAAUUGACGGGGGCCCGCACAAGCGGAGGAACAUGUGGUUUAAUUCGAUGAUACGCGAGGAACC